rnacentral:lncRNA from 1 species
GUCAAAAAAGUCGCUCAGAACACGCCAGCUCCCAGCCCACGUACCAGCUCUGGCAAGAGAGCUGUCUGUGAUCAUCAGUAUUCCUCUUCCUCCUCUACUUUAGAUCUAGAUUCUGUAGCUGAGGCAACCCCAUCGACAACAAAAAGUAGUCUACGCAACCAAUCUGCCACUGCCAAAAGGAGCAACAGAGUGGCCCAACUGCCUCUUCUAAACGCUUGCUCCGCAUCCUGAAUUCAAGUCACACUGCAGUUUCUUUGGGUAACCCUGAAUUGCCAAGCGAGCAACCAUUGCCAGCCUCUGUCAAAUUCCAAUCGUCAACUUCGACCUCAGCUGGCAGUUUUACACACUUUUCCAUUUCUACAAAUCAUCCCGCCUCUAAGAAGAAACAUUCUAGAACUGCUGUUUUAGGUGCAGAAAAUCCUUCUACAUCUAGCAGUGGCACUACUGUAUGUAAAUACCCUCUACGUAGCCAAACAAAAGCAAGCAGCUCUACUGCCCGACCUACCGCACCGUCCACAAGUAGCUCCAGUAAAUCCAAAACGUCUUCUAAGAAACCAAAAGUUUCUCAUACCGAUAACCUGGGCGGAAGUCAGUCAAACUAUCACACUCGAGAGGCACAACCCUCUCCCUCUCCCCAAACGCGACGAAGUACGCGCUCACAGGCUUCUUCAAAAUCAACAACGGGUCCUGUGCUAGCACGAGUCGCCGCUCUUGCCGAGUAAAGCAGCCAUUGGCUGGAGGGUGCGAGAGUGAAGAGCAAGGACGAGGAAUGUCCACACCUGCCGAGCAGCAAGAUGGAGGUGCAACUGCGUCGGCUCAGCCUCACCAUGUCAACACAACCAACUCGUCCACUGCUAACACAACAGCCACCAAUGAAACGGCUGGUCAUGCACCCUCGGGUAAGUUUUAAGCUAAUCAAGGAUAUUGCUUCCUACAGGGGUGCAAAACUUCUAACCAUGUGACCGGGCGGGUCGCGUUCGGUCGGGUGCUAAAAUGAGAAAGCCCCAAAAAACAGUAUUUUGAAAUGAGAAAGCUGGCAUAAUCACGAUAAUUUUUGCAAAACUGCGGUAAAACUUAUGUGUUUCCUGUAAACCGCAGCAUGAAUCAUCUACUUUGCUCAAAUCGCAGCAAUUUAUGCGUUCAGAGCCAUAAAAAAGUCAUUUUUUCUAAAUUUUUGGAGAUAAGUAGGUAUUUAGAAUGGCAAGGCCAAGAACUUUCUGCACCACUGGUCUUCUAAAGCCAAGUAUACUUCAAAAAUUCUGUGGCACACUCUUAAUUUUUCUGAAGAACUAAAAUGUACCUAAUGAGAUCUGUGAGUAUUCAAGUUUCCUGCUGGCAUACUUCAUUUUUUCUGAUGAUUUUCUUCCCAUGAUAAGCCUCCAAAUUUGAAUAACAGAGCUGAAUACCAUCAAGGUAUUGUGAUUUCCUAAUUGUAUGUUUGAAACUUUUUAGUUUUAAUGGCGAAUGUGGUUGGAGGUGUGACAGACAGUGAAAGUGAAGACAGCGAAGUAGGACGUCUUCAAGUUUUGCUGGAAGCACGUGGACUCCCACCUCAUUUUCUACCUCGUAUGCAGCACCUCCUUCACCGUAGCAUGGGUGCUAAUUCCUGUAAGUAAUAAACUCUUUAGUCUGCUUAGUAGUAACUCUUGGUCUGUCUAGAAGAAUCAACUUUUAACAUCUGAUUUAAUGUGUGAUGCACUUACUGCAGACAAAAAGGCUGUUAUGCCAAGGAGGUCAUAAGUGACCUUCAGAUGAAUAUCUCAAUUUUUCAAGAUAAUGGGCCUGUUGCAAACUUUUGCUAGAGCAUAAAUAAGAGUUGUUUCCUAUAGAUAAUGCCUCAAAAAUCACGAUGAGCGCAUUGGCAAAGUCUGAAAUGCACUCAUAACUUCACAAUCUGCAUAAGAAAUUUGCGUUUUUUUGAGCUUCCCGCUUCAAAAACGAUACUACGGCACAGGUGAACAUUUUGUCAGAAGAGUCCUCCAUCGUCGGCAAUAUUCAUCAUGGCCGACGCUUGCGCAGUUCCGCGCGUAAUUCGAGGAGAGUUCAAGGUCAAUCAAGGCGGGUGAGGAAAUAUGAACGUAAACACGCCAAUUUUUAUCUGGUCUAAUUCUGUUCAGGUGUUAUCUCGUCCCAUCUCAGGUGUUUUGGCGGAUUGUCGUCGGCCAUGAUGAAUAUUGCCGAAAAUGGAGCGACUCCUCUAACAAAACCUCUAACCUGUGCCGUAGUAUCGUUUUUGAAGCGGGAAGCUCAAAAAACCGCAAAUUUCUUACGCAGAUUGUGAAAUUAUGAGUGCAUUUCAGACUUUGCCGAUGUGCUCAUCGUGAUUUUUGAGGCAUAAUCUAUAAGGAACAACUCUUAUUUUUGCUCUAGCAAAAGUUUGCAACAGGCCCAUUAUCCAAUUUUUGAAUUUUUAUGGUGAAUUUGGUCUGGAGACGCUGUAAGGGAGAAAUGAAAGUUAUAUACUCCAUGGACAUCUAGACAACAUGCGACUUUAAAUACUAUAAUACGUAUUUUCUCAACAAAUUUUUACAUAGAACUGGAUUUCUACAACAAAAACUUUUUUUGUUACAAUAAUUCAAACUCACCAAUCAUGAAGAAAACCAUAAUUUACUCGGGUUUUAAAAAAAAUUCCAUAAAUUCCUAUCUUUGCUACAUUGCUGUGCCUUUACAAAGAGUUGAUGUCUCAAAAUUUUGAAAUCCAUCUGAAUAAUGAAGGAAAUAUUUAAAAAAAUUUUGACAGUUUUCAGAUACAUGUAACUAAGAAAGUUUUGACAUCCAAGCUCUGUAUUUUCUCUUGGUUUUCAUACUUUUUCAUUGUCAU